rnacentral:rRNA from 1 species
GAAGGCUUUCGGGUCGUAAAACUCUGUUGUUAGGGAAGAACAAGUGCUAGUUGAAUAAGCUGGCACCUUGACGGUACCUAACCAGAAAGCCACGGCUAACUACGUGCCAGCAGCCGCGGUAAUACGUAGGUGGCAAGCGUUAUCCGGAAUUAUUGGGCGUAAAGCGCGCGCAGGUGGUUUCUUAAGUCUGAUGUGAAAGCCCACGGCUCAACCGUGGAGGGUCAUUGGAAACUGGGAGACUUGAGUGCAGAAGAGGAAAGUGGAAUUCCAUGUGUAGCGGUGAAAUGCGUAGAGAUAUGGAGGAACACCAGUGGCGAAGGCGACUUUCUGGUCUGUAACUGACACUGAGGCGCGAAAGCGUGGGGAGCAAACAGGAUUAGAUACCCGGGUAGU